rnacentral:rRNA from 1 species
CGGGGCUUAAAGUCUUGUAAUUGGAAUGAUGGGAAUUUAAACCUCUUCCAGAGUAUCAAUUGGAGGGCAAGUCUGGUGCCAGCAGCCGCGGUAAUUCCAGCUCCAAUAGCGUAUAUUAAAAUUGUUGCAGUUAAAAAGCUCGUAGUUGAAUUUCUGCUGCAUUGCUUGUGUCCCUCUGGGGUCUGUGCAUGUGGCUUUUUUCGGACGGAGUUUCUCUGUCUGAAUGUUUACUUUGAGAAAAUUAGAGUGCUCAAAGCAGGCUUUCGCCUUGAAUAGUUUAGCAUGGAAUAAUAAAGUAGGACUUUGGUUCUAUUUUGUUGGUUUUAGGUACCAAAGUAAUGGUUAAUAGGAACAGUUGGGGGCAUUCGUAUUUAACUGUCAGAGGUGAAAUUCUUAGAUUUGUUAAAGACGAACUACUGCGAAAGCAUUUGCCAAGGAUGUUUUCAUUAAUCAAGAAC